UGAACCGAAGAAGAAUCAAAGCAAAGAAAAUUCUCCAAAAUCUGGUUGAAACUUGAAAGAAGUGAAAUGGACACAAAAGCUUUAGCAAAAUGAAAGAGAGCAAAAACCCAACAAAGCCCCAUCAACUGAAAACAAGCAAAAACCUCAAAAAUCAAGACUUCCUUCAAACUGGGAUCGUUGUGGAGAUGAAUUUGGAGUCAAUCUUGAAAACCCACAUGGAGAUAACCUUAAAAACCAAACUUUGAGGAUGAUGGUCUUGUUUUGCCAAAGAGAAAAGGUGCUGACUUUAAGCACCUCUUAGAUGAAGCUCUAUCAAAAUGUCACCAAGUUGACAACUUUCCUUCUCUUGAGGACUUCUUGGCUGUGUUGGCAAGGUUACUGGUCCUUCUGAUGGCUGGUUUAGACAGCUGGUUUUUGUGUAGAAGAAAUGGUUGCAUGAGGCACACUGUUUUUGAGUUAUUUUGGAUGUUGGUAAAUUAUUGACUUCAAGUGCUUGAUGAAAGAGGAAUUUAGGCAUGGAGUAGACCCCUUGCUUUCAGUCAGGGAGAAAGCAUUCUAUCAUGGAUCGGGGAUGAUAAUUUUGUUGUGGAGGAUAAAACUACUUCAACUCAUGAGAACAACUAGCUAAAGUAGAUGUAUCAGGGAGGCUCUUCAUUGAAGCAGAUCUAUUAGCAACAGAAUUGGGAUCAAAUACAAGCAGCAGCCAGGAAUAUGACCAAUUGCAAACAACAGGAUCUCUGAAUAAUUGGCUUUUGAAGAUUUUUCUGAGAAGAAUAAGGCUGUCAAUCAAAAUACCAAGGUUUUUGCUUCAGGCUUGACCAUAGGCAAUACAGACCCAUUUUCAUUCAUUCAGGGAUCAGAUGUCAAGGGUAAUUUGAAUAGAAAUCAGUGUGGAAAAUCCAAUCAAAGCACAGCUCCUGAGCCCCCAGAACAGUUCAAUGUGAGUUCUGUUGUCCCUAAGAGCAGGCUGCCCACGUUUGAAGCAGAAGCUGCUGAGUCUAACCUGUAUAUGCUUCCUGGCUCGCUUAGUGAGACCAAGCUACUUGAUUCUUCUUGUUUUGGGUCUGGUACUUUACCCAUUUUAGAGAAAAAUGCUCCUGGCACCUCUGCCAGAAGUUAGAAGAAAUCCCACUGGUUCAGCAAAAAACUCCUACACUGCUGCCACCCCGGACAGCAUACCUGAUGAUUUACUUGAGGAAACAUCUGAUUUACAAAGAGAAAGAGGCUGCUACACCUCUGCCACUACUUGCAAGAAAUGCCCUUGCCUCUGCAAAAAUCACUUCUACUGCUGCCACUUUAGAUGAUGUACUUGAUGACAACAUACUUGAUGAUUUACUUUGAGGAAGCAUCUAAUUUACAAGAGAAAGAGGUUGCUACGCCUCUGCCACUACUUGCAAGAAAUGUCUGUCGCUUCGGCAAAAACCACUUCUACUGCUGCCACUCAAGAUGACGUACUUGAUGAUUUACUUGAGGAAACAUCUAAUUUGUCAAACCAAAACAAUUUGCAUCAGCCUCUAGAAAUGAAGGCUGCAUCUUAUGAAAUUCAAUCUUCUUCUCUCCGUCUGUCAGUAAGUCGAAAGUUUUGGAUUGACUUUGAUGCAUCGUCGGAAACAAUUUAACUGCUUGUAAUUUUACCAAACCUCAACCAUGUAUCUUUAUUUGUUGUGCUUAAUGCAAUACAAGGAUGUAUACUUCCAAGCUGCUACA